ensembl:lncRNA
CUGGAAGAUACAAGGAAACUGAACCAUUCAGCUCCUCCAAGGCUUCAGGCAUCUGCAUGGAAGGCACAGCAAGAGGAGAGACAGUGUCAGUGCAUCCACUGCUCCACCACAGUCUGAUUUCUCAUUAGGAAAACAAAAGGCCUCCCAGGAAUUCGGAGACCUGCAAAGAAGGAGGAUUUUAUUAUUAACAUCGAUGGAAGCUUACUAACCUUGGAUUUUUAUGAAAAUUGGCUUAGCAUCCCAGAUGGAACUCUGGCUGGAAAAAUUAAUGGCAUUCAAAGGUAAUGAUACAGUAAACACUUGGGGAACUGCACCAAUAUAUAAGCAAUGCUUUUGUAAGGUACAUAGGCUUGUGUUUACAGGAUUAUAAACUGGAAUGAUGUUCUAUGCCAAGAGGUUUCCUUAGGUCACACAUGUAUUGUCACUUUUUAAACAUACCCAUUUCUCAAGCUAGCAUGUUGAACCAUGUCUAUAAUCUUACCUGGGAGCCUUCUCCUUUAUAAAUGUCAUGAUUUAGAAGACAGUCUAUGUAACACGUGUUCAGGUCAGUUUAGAGUAUUGGUUUAGUUCCUGUGUGAGACAAAUUAAAAGAAGUAAGUGUGUAUAAUACCUGUGGGUUACUUGCAUCCUAGAAUUGUUACCAUGGUAUUAUGAAUAGUUCACAUGGUCAAUAUGUGUCAUUGAUUAGAACAGGAAUCUCUUACUGAAUUCUUCUUUCUCAACUAUAACUACCUAGAGAAGUCUAGAUCAGGUAUAGCUUUGACUUUUUGAAUCAUUUUUCUGUGAUACAUAGAAUGAUUUCAUACUUAACCAGAGCUUUGAGCUCCCAUUGCAACCCAGGAGCCCUGCAUCUCUGGCUUGCUGUAGCAAAGCUUUUAUAAUUGCAUUUUGUAGGGUCACAAGUGUGCUUUCUGCUCCUUAUGUUCUAGAGUGUCCCAAGAGUGUUACAUGAACUUAUACUACAUUAGAUAUUAAAUGUGUCUCCACUCCAUUAUGGUUGGAAAGAUGGUUUGCUGUUUAAUAACACUGGAUGUUUUCAUACACAGAAUACACAUGGUUUUCAAAAAUCUUCAUUCAUUCUAAUACCAGGACAUUGAGUAGAGUCCAGAGUGUGAUUUUGCUCCUUAUGUUCUAGAUUGUUAUAAGGGUGUGUCAUCGAUUCAUAAUACAUUAGAUAUUAAAUGUGUCCCCAUGGUGGCAAGAAAGAUGGUUUGCUGUUUGAUAACACUGGAUGGUUUCACACAGAGAAUAUACAUGGUUUGCAACAAUAUUCAUUCAUUCUGUUACGAGGGAUCCUGACAUGUUCCUCUGGCUUCUGUGGGUAGCAGUCAUACAUCUAGUACAAUGAAAUUCAUAAAUAAUUUGAAAAAUGUUUUUUCUGUGAUUCUGUACAGAAAAGUGAUUUGCAGAAAAUAUUUUAUGUAAUACUCUAGCUAUAUAUUCUUCCUUCUUUUGAAUUCUGAUUAUACUGUGAGUUGGUCUACAAAACAUUUACCCUAUUUGUUCUUUGUAGUUAGAUUUCUAACUUACAUUAUUUUCAAGUUGGUCUAACCUAAAAUUCUCCUUUUUUCUUUGUUUAGCCUAUUGCAACAGAUCCUAGAACCAAACUUUAUAGUAUUAAAACAUCUCAUAUGUGUAUUAGUAAUAAUAAAAGAUUCUUCCAUGAAUAAUUUAGACAGUUACAGGUUAUCUCUGCGCAUAGCUCCACAUGUACUGUGGGGUCAGACUUCGAGAGAUUCAUUAUUUGGGAGUGACGUCUUAAGAAAGGAAACCCUAGGAUUGCAUUCUUAUGGAGUGGAGUAGAAUAUGUAUUGAUCUAUUUCAGGAAGAUUUGGGAAGGGAGAUUUUUAAUGUAGUUUAAAGUAAGUUAAUCAUUUCUUUCUACUGUUCUUUCCUUCUUUCUUCUUAGGUAUUGAUUUAGAUAUUGAUGUUUUAGCCAACAAUAAUCUGUACAUAUAAUGGUAAUCCAAGAAGACUAGAGUGAAAUUUUAAAAGAUCUGGAUUACCUAGGUUUUGUUUGUUUUUUCCACUGUAGCCCUAUUUUUGGAGUAUAGAAUAGUUGUGUUUCACAGUGGUGAGACCAUGAUAUCACUAAAUAUUCACAUCAUGUGAAUUGCUGGUCAUAUUAAAGCACAUUGCAUAUGUGUGUGUGUAUGUAUAUACAUAUAUGUGUGUAUGAGUGUUUUUGCAUGUGUACAUAU